GUGAACGCUGGCGGUAGGCCUAACACAUGCAAGUCGAACGGCAGCACAGUAAGCGCUUGCUCUUACGGGUGGCGAGUGGCGGACGGGUGAGGAAUACAUCGGAAUCUACUUUUUCGUGGGGGAUAACGUAGGGAAACUUACGCUAAUACCGCAUACGACCUACGGGUGAAAGCAGGGGAUCUUCGGACCUUGCGCGAUUGAAUGAGCCGAUGUCGGAUUAGCUAGUUGGCGGGGUAAAGGCCCACCAAGGCGACGAUCCGUAGCUGGUCUGAGAGGAUGAUGAGCGACACUGGAACUGAGACACGGUCCAGACUCCUACGGGAGGCAGCAGUGGGGAAUAUUGGACAAAGGGCGCAAGCCUGAUCCAGCCAUACCGCGUGGGUGAAGAAGGCCUUCGGGUUGUAAAGCCCUUUUGUUGGGAAAGAAAAGCAGCAGGUUAAUACCCCGCUGUUCUGACGGUACCCAAAGAAUAAGCACCGGCUAACUUCGUG
rnacentral:rRNA from 1 species